rnacentral:rRNA from 1 species
GGCAGACGGGUGAGUAACGCGUGGGAACGUACCUUUUGGUUCGGAAUAGCCCCGGGAAACUGGGUGUAAUACCGAAUGUGCCCUUAGGGGGAAAGAUUUAUCGCCAAAAGAUCGGCCCGCGUUAGAUUAGCUUGUUGGUGAGGUAAUGGCUCACCAAGGCUACGAUCUAUAGCUGGUCUGAGAGGAUGAUCAGCCACACUGGGACUGAGACACGGCCCAGACUCC